GAAAACGUCACAACUCAAUACAGAAAUUCUCAAAAUCCGGGUGUCACUGAGUACAUGAGCAUCGACACAAAUACAGUCUGAUACACUGUCUAAGAAAGUAGAACUGAAUAAAUACAACUGAGGGAUAGGGGAGGAGAGUCAAGGUCUAUGGAUGCCAAGACAGCUACCUCGAUAAUCUCCGAACAAUUGAAAACUCUGAGAUCAACAACCACCUUGUCUGAAAAUACCUAGAUCUGCACACGAAGUGCAAGGUGUAGCGUGAGUACAAAAAACUCAAUAAGUAACAAGUCUAGCCUUUGGGCUAAAAGCAGUGACGAGCCUCACAGGUACAGUCCAAUUACAGAAAUACAAUACAGAAAUGUAGACAUUCUUUCAAGUUUAACAGAUAAAGCCCAAACAGAUAAGAUAGGUCAAGUACAACUGAGAUAAGAAUGAUACAUAUCGAUAUCUACAUGUGAGUUAUGUAUGCCAACUGAAGUACAAAACAAUGAUGAAAUCAUAUGCAUACUCUCAGAAUAUCAAUCACUCAGUCCUCCCAUUCAUUCCAUCCUCACAGUCACUCAAUCCUCCCAAGCGCGCUCCCAAUCGCUUGGCGCUCGCGCUCGGUACUGGCACUGGCACUCAGUAGGUAUCUAUGCUCACUGUGGGUGUGCAGUCUCCGGAGGGAAAGAUUCAUCCCAAGCGCUAUAACAAACCAAUCAUGGCAUGAAUCAAUAAAGCCUGUUGUGGCGUGCAACCCGAUCCCAUAAAUAUCCUCACAAUCAGUCCCUCGACCUUACUUAGUAAUCAAUCUCUCCAGUCUCUCGGGCUCAUAGGAAUCAUGAUAAUCAACCCAAACAAUGAUGAUAUAAUGUAUCAAUAAAUGGCAACAGAGACUGAGAUAUGAUAUGCAAAUGAUAGCUAUGACUGAGUACAUAAUUGCAAAUUAAGUAAAUAAUUCAACAUGCAACACGACCUCUGUGAGUCCCAACAGUAACAACAUAUAGCCUAAGCAUGAUUUCUAACAUGACUUUCAGCUCAAUUUUUCUAACACGAGAAGAAUAUACGAAUAACAACAAGGUUAUUCAACUAUACAGUUCCAUGGAAUCGACCAAGUCACAAUUCCUAUGGUGUACGCCCACAUGCCCGUUACCUAGCAUGUGCGUCACCUUAACACUAAUCAUAUAACAUGUAAAUCGGGGUUUCAUACUCUCAUAACCAAGUCUAGAAGUGUUACUUACCUCAAACCUCUACUCCAAUAAGCCCUUGUGUCGCGAAUCAGCCUCCAAAUGCCUCGAAUAUAGCCACAAAUAAUUUGAUACAAUCAACUUAAGCUAUUGGAAUCAAUUCCGUAUGAAAAUGCUAAGUUCUAUAUCAAAAGUUAAAAAGUCAACUCAAAAGUCAACCCCCGGGUCCACGUCUCGGAAUCCUAUAAAAGUUACAAAAACUAAAUACACAUUCAACCACGAAUCCAACCAUAUCAAAAUUACUCAAAUUCGAUACCAAAAUCUCGCUCAAAUCCCCAAAAUUCGGACUAAGAAGUUUUCUCCAUUUUCCUCCAAUUUUUCAACCCAAAUCACUAAUUAAAUGAUGAAAUCAAAGAUAUAAUUAUGGAAUUUAACCAAAACUAAGUAAGAAUCACUUACCUCAAUCACUCCCUUGAAAAUCUCUCAAAGAAUCGCCUCCAACCGAGCUUCCAAAAUCAAAUUGUGAAAUAAACUAAAAACCUCAUUUUUGAGACCUUAAAUUCUGCCGAGAUAUCCCUUAAUUGCGAGCGCGGAAAAUGCAUCACGAUCGUGAAGUGCAAACUAAGCUGGACAAUAAUUAACCCUAUGCGAAUGCGACAAUCCCCACGCGAACGAGAAGCACUGCCUCCUCAGACCUACGCAAUCGUGUCCCUCUUCAUGCGAUCGUGAAGAACAAACGCGCAAACUCAGCUCUACCUCAUUUCCUCUUCGCGAACGAGGUCUAGCCCACGCGUUCGUGAUUCUCUGCUUGACCAACCUAAGUGAUCACAGGCUCCAUCUCGCGAAUGUGUAGAGUAAAAAUCACAGCUUCCCAAACAAGCCUUCGCGAUGGCGGACCUAUCCAUGCGAUCAAAUAGAAGGAAACAAGACAUGUACACCAGAAAAAACUUCAGCAAUCUCCCGAGUCCAAAAUUUGAUCUGCUAACCAUCCGAAACUCACCUGAGGCCCCCGGGACCUCAAUAAAACAAACCAAAAAGUCCUAAAACACGAUACGAACUUUGUCGCGGCCUCAAAUCACAUCAAAUAGCAUCAAAAAUAUAAAAUCACACCCCAAUUGAAGCCUAUUGAACUUAUGAACUUCUAACUUCUAUAUUCGAUGCUGAAACUAAUCAAAUCAAGUUCGAUUGACCUCAAAUUUUGCACACAAGUCAUAAAUAACACAACAGACUAACUCCAACUCCGAGAACCAAAUUCUGAGCCAAGUAACCACAAAGUCAACUAUCAGUCAAACUUCUCAAUUUCCAACUUUUGCAAUUUCAAGCCUAAAUCAAUUACGGACCUCCAAAUUACUAUCCGGACACACUCCUAAGUCCAAAAUUACCCAACGGAACUAUCGGAACUAUACAAACUCCAUUUCGGGACCAUUUACAUAUAAGUUAACAUUCGGUCAACCUUUACAACUUAAGCUUCCAACCUUGAGACUAAGUGUCUCAACUCAUUCUGAAACAUCCUCGAAACCGAACCGACUACCCCGACAAGUCACAUAAUGACAAUUGAGCAUACAAUAAGCAGUAAAUGGGGUAACGAGGCUACAACACUCAAAACGACUAGUCGGUUCGUUAUAUCAUCCCCCUCUUAAACAAAUGUUUGUACUCGAACGGGUCUAGAAACAUAUUUGGAGUCUCAAAUAGGCGUGGAUAUAUGCUCUGCAUCUCCCACUUGGUCUCCUAAGUAUCCUCCUCAACUGGCUGACCUCUCUACUGUACCUUCAUUGAAGCUAUGUCCUUUGACCUCAACUUUUGAACUUACUGAUCCAAAAUGGCCACUGACUCCAUAUCAUAAGUCAAAUCACCAUCCAACUUAACCGUGCUGAAAUCCAAAACAUGAGACGGAUCGCUGACAUACUUCUGAAGCAUAAAAUCAUGAAACAAUGAUGAACACUCGACAGACUAGGUGGCAAGGUAAUCUUGUAAGCCACCUCUGAAGCACUUCAAAUGGGCCAAUGUACCGAGGGCUCAACUUGAUCUUAUUCCCAAACCUCAUAACACCCUUCAUGGGUGAAACUCUGAGUAGUACCUUCUCCCCAACCAUAUAAGCAACAUCACGAACCUUUCGAUCGACAUAGCUCUUCUCUCUAGACUGCGCCGUGUAAAGUUGAUCCUGAAUCAAUUUAACCUUGUCCAAAGAAUUCUGAACUAAGUCAGUACCCAACAUUCUAGCCUCACCUAUCUCAAACAAUCCCAUCGGAGACCAACACCGUCUCCCAUAUAAAGCCUCAUACGGAGCCAUUUGAAUGCUCGAUUGGUAGUUGUUGUUAUAGGCAAACUCUGCGAGCGGCAAAAACUGAUCCCAAGAACCCCCAAAAUCUAUGACACAAGCGCGUAACAUAUCCUCCAAUAUCUCUCUGACUGUCCGUCCGUCUGAAGGUGGAAUGUUGUACUCAACUCAACAUGGGUGACCAACUCUCGUUGCACUUCUCUCCAAAACUGUGAUGUAAAAUGCGUGCGCCGAUCUGAAAUGAUGGACACAGGCACACCGUGAAGGCGAACAAUCUCGCGGAUGUAGAUCUCAGCCAACUGCUCCGAAGAAUAAGUAGUCCCGACUGGAAUGAAAUGCGCGGACUUGGUAAAUCGAUCCACAAUCACCCAAAUAGCAUCAAACUUCCUCGAAUCCCGUGGGAGCCCAACUACAAAAUCCAUGGUGAUACGCUCCCAUUUCCAUUCCGGAAUCUCAAGCCUCUGAAGCAAUCCGCUCGGUCUCUGGUGCUCAUACUUCACCUGUUGGCACUUUAGGCACCGAACUACAAACCCCACUAUAUCCUUCUUCAUCCUCAUCCACCAAUAGUACUGCCUUAAGUCCUGAUACAUCUUCGCGGCACCUUGAUGAAUGGAAUACUGCAAACUGUGGUCCUCCUCCAGAAUCAACUCACGUAGCUCAUCUAUAUUAGGCACACAAAUCUGACCCUGCAUUCCUAACACCCUAUCAUCCCCAAUAGUAACCUCCUUAGCAUCAUCGUGGUGAACCGUGUCCUUAAGGACAAGUAGAUAAGGAUCAUCAUAUUGGCGCUCUCCGAUGCGAUCAUAUAAGGAAGACUGAGAAACCAUAUAAGCUAGAACCCGACUGGGCUUCAAAACAUCUAAUCUCAUGAACUGGGUGGCCAAGGCCUGAACAUCAUCUGCAAGUGGUCUCUCACCAACAAGAAUAAAUGCAAGGCUACCCAUUCUCACUGCUUUUCUAUUCAAGGCAUCAGCCACUACAUUGGCCUUCCUGGGAUGAUACAGAAUGAUAAUAUCAUAGUCCUUUACCAGGUCCAACCAUCUCUGCUAUCUCAAAUUAAGAUCCUUUUGUUUGAACAAGUGCUGGAGACUCCGAUGAUCCAUAAAUACCUUACAAGACACACCAUAGAGAUAAUGCCUCCAAAUCUUCGAUGCAUGAACGAUGGCUACCAACUCCAAAUCAUGGACAGGGUAGUUCUUCUCAUGGGGCUUCAACUGAUGCGAAGCAUAAACAAUCACUCUACCACCUGCAUCAACACACACCCAAUACUAAUCCGAGAAGCAUCACAAUACACUGUAUAAGAGCCUGACGCUAAAGGCAAAAUUAGGACUGGAGUUGUGGUCAAGGUAGUCUUGAGCUUCUAAAAGCACUCCUCACACUCAUCUGACCACCUGAAUGGAGCACCCUCCUGGGUUAAUUUGGUCAAAGGCACUGUAAUAGAUGAGAAACCCUCCACGAAGCAUCGAUAAUAUCCGGCCAAGCCGAGAAAGCUUCUAAUCUCUGUAGUUGAAGACGGUCUGGGCCAGCUCUGGACCGCCUUUAUCUUCUUUGGAUCCACCUUAAUCCCCUCACUGGACACCAAGUAAACCCAAGAACACCAUUGAACUAAGACAAAAUUCACACUUUGAGAACUUGGCAUAAAGCUUCUUCUCCCUUAGCUGCUGUAGUACAAUCCUCAAAUGCUGGGCAUGCUCCUCCUAACAACGUGAGUACACCAGGAUAUCAUCAAUGAAUACUAUGAAAAAUGAAUCAAGAUAUGGCUCAAAUACAAUGUUCAUCAGAUGCAUGAAUGCUAUUGGGGCAUUGGUCAGCCCAAAAGACAUCACAAGGAACUCAUAGUGACCAUACGGAUCCUAAAUACUGUAUUUAGAAUAUCCGAGUCCCGAAUCUUUAACUGGUGAUACCCAAACCUCAAAUCAAUCUUACAGAACACCUUCGCUCCCUUAAGUUGUUCAAAUAAAUCACCAAUGCACGGUAAAUGAUACUUGUUCAUCAUUGUAACUUUGUUCAACUGCCUAUAGUCGAGGCACAUCUGCAUAGUACCAUCCUUCUUCUUCACAAACAGAACCGGUGCACCCCAAAGCGACACCCUAGGCCUAAUAAACCCCUUAUCAAGAAGCUCCUGAAGUUGCUUUUUUAAUUGCUUUAACUCAGCUGGCGCCAUACGAUACGGAGUAAUAGAAAUGGGCUGAGUGCCCGGCACCAAGUCAAUACCAAAGUCAACAUCCCUGUCGGGUGGCAUGCCCGACAGGUCUACAGGAAACACAUUUGGAAUGUCUCGUACCACCGGAACAGAAUCAAUAGUAGGGGUAUCAGCACCAGCGUCCCUCACAAAGGCCAAAUAUGACAGACACCCCUUCCCUGCCAUCCGUUGGGCCUUCAAAUAUGAAAUCACUCUCUUGGGAACAUACUCUAGAGAACCUCUCCACUAGAUCCUUGGCAACCCCGGCAUCGCUAAUAUCACGGUCUUAGCGUGAUAAUCCAGAAUAGUAUGACAUGGAGACAACUAAUCCAUACCCAAGAUCACAUCGAAAUCAACCAUACUAAGCAAUAAAAGAUUAAAUCUAGUCUUUAAUCCCGCAAUAGUCACUACACACGACCGAUAUGCACGGUCCACAACAAUAGUAUAAUCCACCGGCAUAGAUACAUGAACAUGUGAAACUAAGGACUCACAUGGCAUAUCCAAAUAACGAGUAAAAUAGGAUGAUGCAUAGGAAUAAGUAGAACUAGGGUUAAAUAAUGUGGAAGCAUCUCUGUGGCACACUGAGACAAUACUUGUGAUCACUGCAUCAGAAGCAACAAUAUUUUGCCUAGCAUGAAUAGCAUAGAAUCGGGCCUAACCACCACCUGAUCGUCCUCCCCCUCUAGGGUGACUUCUAGCUGUCUGGGCCCCACCCUAAGAUAGCUAGGCGGGUGGUGAAGUAACUGGUGCAAAAGUCAUAGCCUGACCCCUCUACUGAACUAGACCUCCCAGGCGACGAGGACAUUGUCUCCAUAUAUGCCCAAACACUCCACACUCGAAGCAACUCCCCGAUGGUGGUGGUAGGGACUGAAUUGGGCCCCGAGUACCAGAGUAACUGCUAGAAGGACCUGACACAGAUGAACCCCGAAAUGAUGGAGCAUGGGAUAAACUCUGAGCUGGGAGAGCACUAUACAAACCAUGGCUAGCUGAUGCACCACGAAGAACUGGAUGAGCCAUUUGAGCGGGCCUAUAAGGAUGACCCCUGUUGUGGUAGGACUGCCACCCAGAAGGAACACCGCUGAAACCACCCGAACCACGAGGCCUCUUGGUCUUCCUCUCCUCACACUCCUUGCUACGGACCAACUCUAGCUGCUGAUAAAUAUCAACCACCUCGUCGAACCUAGCACCUAAUACCCUCUCCCGAGUCAUAACAAAAUGCAACUGAUAGUGGAGGCCAUCAAUGAACCUUAUAAUCCUAACCCUCUCAGUGGGAACCAACCAAACUGCGUGACGAGCCAACUCUAAAAAUUUCAUCUCAUACUGGGUCACAAACAUGCUCUCCUAAUGUAGCUGCUCGAACUGCCUGUGCAGCUCCUCCCUACGGGUCUAUGGCACAAACUUCUCCAAGAAGAUAAUGGAUAACUCAUGUCAUGAAAGUGGUGCAACACCGACUAGUCUGCUUCUCUCAUACGCGUCCCACCAUCUGAAGGAAACCCCUAAUAGUUCGAAAGUAGUAAAGGAGACUCCACUAGUCUCCAGAAUACCCCGCCAUGCGAAGAAUCCGCUCGCACCUAUGCAAGUCCUAAGCAUCCUAUGACUCAGCCUCAUAGAAUGAUGGAGGCCUGAGCCUCCCAAAUCUAUAUAGCCUUUUCUUCUCCUCAUCAGUCAUAAUGGGACCCACCUGGGCCUGAGCAACUGCAACCGACUGGGCUUGUAGUACCCUCGGUGUUUGAAGUCCAUGCACCACCUGCUCUGGAGUACGGGCGGCGGGAGUCUGAGUACCUCCCCCUACCAGAGAAGUGGCUGGCGUAGUCUGAACAGAAACUGCCUGAGCAAGGCUAGUGCAAACAGUUAAUAUCUAAGCCAAACCUCCUGAAGACCUAGAAUCACAAUGGGCACAAGUGGUACCUGAGCUGGCCCCACUGGCUCGAUCACAUGUGGAACCUGCUCCUGAGUUGGAGCAACUAGUGGAUCUACAUAUGCUGCUCUAGCUACUGUAUGAGCUCUACCUCGGCCCCUACCGCGGCUCCUACCUCUCGUGGCCUUAGCUGGUGGUACUGGU
rnacentral:lncRNA from 1 species